rnacentral:ncRNA from 2 species
AAAACGAAUAAUCAGUUCAUCGAUAUAUUUCUAGGGAAAUGGCUUAGAAGUUUCUACGAGAGGCCGUUAACUUCUCACUAUUGGUGAAUCUUGAAUUGAA